UUUUUUUUGAAGUUUAAGUGUUCUUAACCAAUGCUCUGCUGUUUUGUUAAUCAAAAAGCUGGUUUACACUGCACAUAAUUGGAACUAAUAUAGAAGUAAAUAAAGACAGUCAAAUUUGAGGAUGCUGAGCACAGGCAUUUAUCGGAAAAGGAAGAAAUCUCUUAGCCUCUGAUGGUUCAGUCUCAAUUUCUUAAAAUACUAUGAGUUUUUUUUGUUUGUUUUUUAAAGAGUGAAAGUACUUCAAAGUUUAGAGCACAAAUAAACCUCCAGUCCCACAACCUUUGGGCUCCUUUGGAAGGUAAAGGUGGAGGUGUGAAGAGGACCUGUGAGCUGCUUUACACCAAUUUUUUUUCUGUUUUAAUACUGUAAAAUAUGUUGCAUUUCCACGUUUUCAGUCUGAUGAAAUCUGAAACAAAUAAUACCCUGAUCCAACACUAGGCUUUUACUUAUAUUAAGAUAAACUGCUUUGAACUGUGCUUUGAAUAUGUGCCUAAAGCAAGACUUUGAAUGCAAGAGUCAUUGGCAAUUGCAUUCAAAGGAGGGAAAAGCCACCACAUAGGUUGCCAUAUCCACACUCCCAGAGGUACACGUCUUUGUAUUUUGUAUGUUUAUUUUUCUGAGAGGGGGUAAUAGCCACCCAGCAUGAAGACAGAUCUUGUUUUAGGAUGUAAGAAAGUAGGUUUUCACAGUUGGUUCCAUAUUCACCUCUUUCCUAAUUUGAGUGGGGUUUAUCACAAGGAGAAUUGUUGGAUAAAUUAAUCUCUUCCUUACCCUGUGACAGAUAAAGUACCGAAGAUCUAUAGGCACCUGAG
rnacentral:lncRNA from 1 species